UAGCCGCCACUCAUUCCUUCGCUCUGGCGCGGCUCAUCUCCGUCUCCUACCAGGCGCCCUCUCGCUCGCCGCGCCUCGCCACUUCCUUGCCGUCGACCUGCCCCACCACCUCGUCUACCCCGCGCUCGCCAGCGAGGGAGAGGCUGCCACCUCUCGUCACGUCCUCCCCGGGCGGCUAGGCUUUCUGUGGCCGCCGCCGCCGCCGCCAUCACGGCCGCCCCAUCCCAGCAGUUCCAACACUGCCACUGAAGAAGGCAAGGUCUCCUCUUCGCGGCAAGGCGUGCGCUCCACCUGGUUGCGAUGGUGGUGGCAGAGGAGGGGGGAGGGGGAGGGCCAGGGAGCGCGACCUCGCCGUCGAGGAGGUGGAGCGGCUGCGCGGGGUCAUGCGGUGGCAGGGCAUGGAGUUGCGUGCCCGCAUCGGAGGUCACGCGCGAGGAGGCCAAACAAAAGUGUCUGCAGGGCGAGCGCUCCAAUGCCAGGGCCUGAUGUAUUUGAAGAGAUGCCAGGCAGAAGACUAACAUAUAGUAGAACUACUGAAAGCAUCGGUAGAGUUUAUGGGCACUCUAAAUGUUGUUCCAUGAAUGGGAAGGUGGGCGGGGGCCGGUCAACCUAUGCUCAAUUUCAAGGUCUCGCAUGGCCACGCCCGGGCCACUUGCGCUCUUCCCCCUCUUGAAAGCGCAGCUGCUGUUUUUGGGGCUCCGCUCGAAGAGGACUACUACCGGCUGCCGGCCAACGGAACACCCUCCUGGGCCUAUUCCCCUGGAGAAGCAGAAGAAGACCUCUUCCGCUUCAGAUUCCCACAAGGUGGUUCUGAGGUGACCACGAAAUUUCUGGACGUUCAUCGGUCGGGCAUUUUGUUCGUGUUACUGUCGUCCGGCCCGUCAGGCUGCUCAGCCUGAAGGACUAAGGCCACACUGUUAUUGUCUUUCUAUUUGUAGAAGAAUCAAGUCCAAUGACACAACAUGAAUGAAGCAGCAAGGAACAAAUGGCUGCUUGAUGUUCCCAGAUUAGCUGCAUAGUUGUAGAUGUCGCUGAUGUGUGCUAAUGCUUUAUGCGCUUGAUCCUAUUGAACUGCUGUGUUGAUUUAUUUUAUGGAGAAAAGUGACAAGUCUAAGACAGAGAAUGAUCUUUUUGGUCACAAGAGAGUUCUCGUGGAUGAAACUCAUCUGGUGUCUAUUGGUUGCAUGAACUCAGGGAAAGUGACUGGCUUUUUAAUUUUGGUGGAUACUUUUUGAUCAGGGGAAUGGAGAAGGUAUAAUUCUACUGAUCUCUCUUAAUUUAAUUGAUGUAUCAUGUAAGGGGCGUUGCAUAAUCAAAUGUUUUAAACACUUCUUUUGUCACUAAGAUGGAGUACAAAGCUGUGAGAUUUCUUAGUUUUGAAUUGAAUUUUGUAUAUAUAUGUCACUAAGCCCAAAUGCCCUUAUAAAGCAUUAGUGCCAAAUGCUACGGGAAUUAUUAUGAACAAUUCUAAUACAUAGACAGUUGAACAGAGUGCUAACAAAAGUGUACACUGCAAGCAUUUGACUGGCCUAUGGCCCAGGUUUACGCUGGGGCCGCCUGUCAAUGGAUUGCUAAUAAUACGUGUAGCUGCGUUGCGUGUGUGUGUGAAAGAUAGCGAUGGUUGGUGUCAGGGGGCGUUUGGUGGCGCACAACGUGUCUCCGCCCCCCUGGGUUACAUGGUCUCUGAUGUGAGGGCCCCUCAUUGUCCUAUGUGCUCCUUAUCUGGGUGUGCUCAGUGAGGUUCGGUUGCUUUUACAUCGAGCCACCGUCGUUUGGAUGGGCUCACUCUGUUCGUGCGUCUGCCGUCUCCUUCAUAUAAACACGCAUCACCCUGCUCGCCUCUUCUUCCUUCCAUCUAACCCCAUCCAGUUCUCCGCUACGCUUGUAAAGAACCAUGGAGGUAGAAUCCCUCCUCCAUUAAGCCAGCCUAUUCUUUUCUUUUUGAUAGCUGUUGAUGCUCUUCUUACUGUUGCUCUAUGUUGUUUGUUUCCCAGGUUGUUGUGAAGUGAGUGACAGAUCUCUUGUUGUUUAUCGACCGCUCUUCCUGUUCGUCCCUCUUCGUUGCGCCUUUCACCGCCACGAAGAAACCGCAGUUCUUGGAUCAUCAUUUAAUUUGGUUCGACAUUUCAUCUCUUGGGUGAUUCAUGUCUGUCGUUGAGUAUUUUCAGGUUAACUAUACUGAAGAGAACCUGCUGGACUACAUUGAUCCAAACAAUGAUACACUCAUGGUCGACUUGCAGACGGCCAUCUGCUCGCUGAAAGUUGCAUCAUGCUAGGAACUGACAAGAGAGCUACUAUAAUCACCAACUGGACUGAGUUUCGUCCCCGCGCCAACAUUCGCGAAGGAGACGUCUGUGCAUUUCGUUUCAGGAUCACUUCAAAGCGUCGCUUUGUUCUCACCGUGCACCGCCUCUAUAUGCACCAUCGAAGACAUUGCAGCCCAUGUGUUAAUAUAAUCUAAUAUAAUGUAGCACUAAGUAUUCUUAAUUAUACUCUAGCCUGUGAUAACCUAUGGUUUCCUUUUGGCCCUCUUAUCACAUGCUUUUCAAGACGCUAAAUCUAUGAUGUUGCUUAUGUAAAGUGCACUAUUCUCAGACAGAUCUUUCAUUUUCAGAUCCACAA